AACUCUACCUGGAUGGGGUUGAUGAGCAAUCAAGAAGGCCCCUGGCCUAGGCUAGCAAUCUCCGUUGCACUUUGGAGAGGUGCGUUAGCCUGAGGUCUGCUUGAGCAACAGAGCCUAUGUCGUAAGUUGUGGUAGACAGGUCCUGUUAUCACGCAGCCCCCAC